GAUUUCAUCAGACAGGGCCAUGUUGUGCCCCCUUGGAUGGGGCAGGCACAUGCCGCCAGAUCUUGGCCAGCGUGACACCA
rnacentral:tRNA from 1 species